UACGUAGGGAGCAAGCGUUGUCCGGAAUCAUUGGGCGUAAAGCGCGCGUAGGUGGCUUCGUAAGUCCGUUGUGAAAGUCAAAGGCUCAACCUUUGAAAGCCGAUGGAUACUGCGGAGCUAGAGUACGGAAGAGGCGAGUGGAAUUCCUGGUGUAGCGGUGGAAUGCGCAGAUAUCAGGAGGAACACCGGUGGCGAAGGCGGGUCUCUGGGCCGAUACUGACGCUGAGGAGCGAAAGCAUGGGUAGCGAACAGG
rnacentral:rRNA from 1 species